CCCUUAGACGUUCUGGGCCGCACGCGCGCUACACUGACGAAGGCAACGAGCUUUCCUUUACCGAAAGGUACGGGUAAUCUUUUGAAACUUCGUCGUGCUGGGGAUAGAUCCUUGCAAUUUUUGAUCUUAAACGAGGAAUGCCUAGUAAGCGCAAGUCAUCAACUUGCGUUGAUUACGUCCCUGCCCUUUGUACACACCGCCCGUCGCUACUACCGAUUGAAUGAUUUAGUGAGGCCUUCGGAUCCGCGACUCGUUUGUGGAGAAGUUGGACAAACUCAGUCAUUUAGAGGAAGUAAAAGUCGUAACA
rnacentral:rRNA from 1 species